UGUGGGAGCGGGCUUGCUCGCGAAUGCGGCGUGUCAGUCGGCGCAUCUUUAACUGAUCUACCGCUUUCGCGAGCAAGCCCGCUCCCACA
rnacentral:misc_RNA from 1 species